rnacentral:rRNA from 1 species
GGUUUACCUGUGUGACUGCGUACCUUUUGUAUAAUGGGUCAGCGACUUAUAUUCUGUAGCAAGGUUAACCGAAUAGGGGAGCCGGAGGGAAACCGAGUCUUAAUUGGGCGUUAAGUUGCAGGGUAUAGACCCGAAACCCGGUGAUCUAGCCAUGGGCAGGUUGAAGGUUGGGUAACACUAACUGGAGGACCGAACCGACUAAUGUUGAAAAAUUAGCGGAUGACCUGUGGCUGGGGGUGAAAGGCCAAUCAAACCGGGAGAUAGCUGGUUCUCCCCGAAAGCUAUUUAGGUAGCGCCUCGUGAAUUCAUCUCCGGGGGUAGAGCACUGUUUCGGCUAGGGGGCCAUCCCGGCUUACCAACCCGAUGCAAACUGCGAAUACCGGAGAAUGUUAUCACGGGAGACACACGGCGGGUGCUAACGUCCGUCGUGAAGAGGGAAACAACCCAGACCGCCAGCUAAGGUCCCAAAGUCAUGGUUAAGUGGGAAACGAUGUGGGAAGGCCCAGACAGCCAGGAUGUUGGCUUAGAAGCAGCCAUCAUUUAAAGAAAGCGUAAUAGCUCACUGGUCGAGUCGGCCUGCGCGGAAGAUGUAACGGGGCUAAACCAUGCACCGAAGCUGCGGCAGCGACACUGUGUGUUGUUGGGUAGGGGAGCGUUCUGUAAGCCUGUGAAGGUGUGUCGUGAGGCAUGCUGGAGGUAUCAGAAGUGCGAAUGCUGACAUAAGUAACGAUAAAGCGGGUGAAAAGCCCGCUCGCCGGAAGACCAAGGGUUCCUGUCCAACGUUAAUCGGGGCAGGGUGAGUCGACCCCUAAGGCGAGGCCGAAAGGCGUAGUCGAUGGGAAACGGGUUAAUAUUCCCGUACUUGGUGUUACUGCGAAGGGGGGACGGAGAAGGCUAUGUUGGCCGGGCGACGGUUGUCCCGGUUUAAGCGUGUAGGUGUGUGUUCCAGGUAAAUCCGGUUCACUUUAACACUGAGGCGUGACGACGAGGCACUACGGUGCUGAAGCAACAAAUGCCCUGCUUCCAGGAAAAGCCUCUAAGCAUCAGGUAACAUCAAAUCGUACCCCAAACCGACACAGGUGGUCAGGUAGAGAAUACCAAGGCGCUUGAGAGAACUCGGGUGAAGGAACUAGGCAAAAUGGUGCCGUAACUUCGGGAGAAGGCACGCUGACACGUAGGUGAAGUGAUUUACUCAUGGAGCUGAAGUCAGUCGAAGAUACCAGCUGGCUGCAACUGUUUAUUAAAAACACAGCACUGUGCAAACACGAAAGUGGACGUAUACGGUGUGACGCCUGCCCGGUGCCGGAAGGUUAAUUGAUGGGGUCAGCGCAAGCGAAGCUCCUGAUCGAAGCCCCGGUAAACGGCGGCCGUAACUAUAACGGUCCUAAGGUAGCGAAAUUCCUUGUCGGGUAAGUUCCGACCUGCACGAAUGGCGUAAUGAUGGCCAGGCUGUCUCCACCCGAGACUCAGUGAAAUUGAACUCGCUGUGAAGAUGCAGUGUACCCGCGGCAAGACGGAAAGACCCCGUGAACCUUUACUAUAGCUUGACACUGAACAUUGAGCCUUGAUGUGUAGGAUAGGUGGGAGGCUUUGAAGUGUGGACGCCAGUCUGCAUGGAGCCGACCUUGAAAUACCACCCUUUAAUGUUUGAUGUUCUAACGUGGACCCGUUACCCGGGUUGCGGACAGUGUCUGGUGGGUAGUUUGACUGGGGCGGUCUCCUCCUAAAGAGUAACGGAGGAGCACGAAGGUUGGCUAAUCCUGGUCGGACAUCAGGAGGUUAGUGCAAUGGCAUAAGCCAGCUUGACUGCGAGCGUGACGGCGCGAGCAGGUGCGAAAGCAGGUCAUAGUGAUCCGGUGGUUCUGAAUGGAAGGGCCAUCGCUCAACGGAUAAAAGGUACUCCGGGGAUAACAGGCUGAUACCGCCCAAGAGUUCAUAUCGACGGCGGUGUUUGGCACCUCGAUGUCGGCUCAUCACAUCCUGGGGCUGAAGUAGGUCCCAAGGGUAUGGCUGUUCGCCAUUUAAAGUGGUACGCGAGCUGGGUUUAGAACGUCGUGAGACAGUUCGGUCCCUAUCUGCCGUGGGCGCUGGAGAACUGAGGGGGGCUGCUCCUAGUACGAGAGGACCGGAGUGGACGCAUCACUGGUGUUCGGGUUGUCAUGCCAAUGGCACUGCCCGGUAGCUAAAUGCGGAAGAGAUAAGUGCUGAAAGCAUCUAAGCACGAAACUUGCCCCGAGAUGAGUUCUCCCUGAGACUUAGAGUCUCCUGAAGGAACGUUGAAGACGACGACGUUGAUAGGCCGGGUGUGUAAGCGCAGCGAUGCGUUGAGCUAACCGGUACUAAUGAACCGUGAGGCUUAACCUUACAACGCCGAAG